rnacentral:rRNA from 1 species
UAACUGCGAGUGAAGUGGGAAAAGCCCAUCGUUGAAUCUUCCUGGACCAUGGACAGGACGAAAUGUAACGGUAUGGAUAGGUCUACUACCAGCGAGGUUUGAUCAAAGUCCUCCGGGUUGAGGUGCCAUAGAAGGUGAUAGUCCUGUGUGUGAUUGAACAAAGUUGGGUAUGUGGCCAAUUCCUAGAGUCGGGUUGUUUGGGAUUGCAACCUAAAGUAGGUGGUAAACUCCACCCAAGGCUAAAUAUGGACACGAAACCGAUAGCGAACAAGUACUGUGAGGGAAAGUUGAAAAGAACUCUGAAAAGAGAGUUAAAAGUACGUGAAACCGCUUACGGGGAAGCGGAAGGCAGUGUCGUGAUCUUGUUGUAAUGGUGACUUUGAUAUUUGUCGACAAGUUGCGGUGUGAGUGACUUGUUAUUGGUAGGUAUUGAGUCAUUAGUUAUACUGGAUGCGUCAGGUCUAUUGGUAUUACAUGUGGUGGAAUUGUUCUUUAUCUACGCGUAGAAAUGCGUGUAGAGUGGCUUCAACAAGACCCUGACAGUUGUUUUGGGAAUUGCUGUUGCGUGGAUGCAAUCAAUCACAUAUACUAAUAUGUAAUGUGGGGRAGCGUUAGUGACUGUUGAUUUACUUCGGUCGGCUGUAGACCAUGCGGUUAUGUACGUUGAUUGCAGUGUGAUUACACGUAUAUUUAUAUUGUGUGGUGGAAUAGCAACUAGUGCUAGUAUCUGACGAGAUACCUAACCUUCCGACCCGUCUUGAAACACGGACCAAGGAGGCAGAAUCUAGAGCAAGUUGGAGGGUGGAAAACCCGACGGCGUAGUGAAAGCGAGAGAUGAGAUCUGUUAAACUGUGAAAAUGGUUUGAUGGCGCAUCAUCGGCCGGUCUUGACUAACCAUGUUUUGAUCGAGUUAGAGCUCUAGGUACUGGACCCGAAAGAUGGUGAACUAUACGUGAGCAGGGUGAAGCCAGAGGAAACUCUGGUGGAGGCUCGAAGCGAUUCUGACGUGCAAAUCGAUCGUUAGACUUGCGUAUAGGGGCGAUAGACUAAUCGAACUAUCUAGUAGCUGGUUCCCUUCGAAAUAUCCCUCAGGAUCGCUGAGACAUGUGUGAAACAGUUUCAUCGGGUAGAGCGAAUGAUUAGAGGAAUCGGGGAUAUAUUACUCUCGACCUAUUCUCAAACUACCAACCGGUGAGUAGCAUUGUUUGUAACUUGAGUGAAAUAAUGUGUGUGAAUGUUUGUGUCUCAAGUGGGCCAUUUUUGGUAAGCAGAACUGGCGAUGCGGGAUGAACCGAGAGUUGAGCUAAGGUGCCAAACGACACGUUGAUAGAUACCACAAAAGGAGUCGGUCGAUAAAGACAGCAGGGCGGUGGCCCUGAAAGUAGGAAUCCGCUAAGGAAUGUCUAACAACUCACCUGCCGAAUCGACCGGCCCUGAAAAUGAAUGGCGCUGAAUCGUGUGACCGAUGCUCAUCCUUUACUACUAGAAAUGUUUGGUAAAGGGUAGAAGGGCGCAACGGUAGCAAUAAAGUACAAAGUGUGAACUUGUAUGGAGCUGCCGUUGGUGUAGAUCUUGGUGGUAGUAGCAAUGAUAAAAGUGAGUAAAAACCUUUUAGGCCGAAGUGGAGAAGGGUUUCACGUGAACAGCAGUUGGACGUGAGUUAGUCGGUCCUAAGCGGUUGCCUAACGGCUAUUGCAAUGCUGACUUGUUUGUAUGGCUGUGCAGGAAUGCAUGGUUGUAUGGUGUAAAUGGGUCGGAAUCCGCGAAAGGGAAUCAGGUUAAUAUUCCUGAACCGGGCGUUGGAGACGCAAUCCUUGGCGCUGCAUGUUGCCUUUAUUGAUAAUGUGUUGGUGUUUGUGGGUUGCUUAGCGGUAACGCAAACAAUCUCGGAGACGUUGAUGUCUAUGGCGGGGAGAAUUAUCUUUUCUGUAUAACAGGCCAAAUUGUACCUUGGAAUCGAGUCAUUCGGAGAUGAGGUAAAAAGCCUGGAAGAGCAUGGCAAUUUUUGCAAUGUCCGCAGUAUAGGUAUCAACCCUUGAAAAUCCGAGGGAGUGGCUAAAUUUCACGCUCGUCCGUACCGAAUCCGCAUCAGGUCUCCUAGGUGUGCAGCCUCUGGCACUGGAACAAUGUAGGUAAGGGAAGUCGGCAAAAUGGAUCCGUAACUUUGGGAAAAGGAUUGGCUCUAAGGACCGGGCCAAUCGAGCUAGUAUUGCCUAGGUUAGUGGGUGUUGAACGGGACUUGUGUGUAUUGGUGUGUGUGUGUAAAAGCGUGUGCAUCAUAUGGAUAAGUUUGGUGAAACAAACGCUGGCCCUGGAAUGCCUGUGUGAACUUUAGAAUUGGUUGAUUGGUCGGUUGUGUGUGCUGUUGCUUUAUUGUGGUGGUUGCAUGCAGUUGGUUAGAUAUCAGCCGGUGGAGUUCUUUACGAGUGGCAAGCAUCGGUCUGCUUAGAACUGUUACUAACAUGGGGAAUCCGACUGUUUAAUUAAAACAAAGCAUUGCGAUGGCCUUAAGGGGUGUUGACGCAAUGUGAUUUCUGCCCAGUGCUCUGAAUGUCAAAGUGCGGAGACGCAACCAAGCACGGGUAAACGGCGGGAGUAACUAUGACUCUUGUAAGGUAGCCAAAUGCCUCGUCAUCUAAUUAGUGACGCGCAUGAAUGGAUCAACGAGAUUCCCACUGUCCCUACCUACCAUCCAGCGAAACCACAGUCAAGGGAACGGGCUUGACUGAGACGGCGGGGAAAGAAGACCCUGUUGAGCUUGACUCUAGUUUGAUUUUGUGAGAAGACAUGAGGGGUGUAGAAUAAGUGGGAGAUUGGCUUGUGUCAGUCGACGGUGAAAUACCACUACCUUCAUUGUUUUCACACUAAGUCGGUAACACGGGAAAUAUCCAUUCCUGCUGAAAAGGCAGGAUGGGUGGAUUCGUGGCUAUAAGACAGACAGAUCUGUUGACCCAUCGCCGAUGACAUAAUCAGAUGGGGAGUUUGACUGGGGCGGUACAUCCUUAAAAAUGCAACGAGGGUGUCCAAAGGCGAGCUCACCGUGGACAGAAACCACGGGUAGAGCAAAAGGGCAAAAGCUCGCUUGAUUCCGAUUUUCAGUACGAAUACGAACCACGAAAGUGUGGCCUAUCGAUCCCUUGAUCACCCAGAGUUUGGGGACAGGGGUGUCAGAAAAGUUACCACAGGGAUAACUGGCUUGUGGCGGCCAAGCGUCCAUAGCGACGUCGCUUUUUGAUCCUUCGAUGUCGGCUCUUCCUAUCAUUGGGUAGCAGCAUACU